GCUUUCCCUUUUUCUUCAGGUUCUCUCUGCUUUGGACAUAUUACAACCUCCUCACAUUGACUACUUUGAAGAAAUCUAUGUGGUGACUGAACUGAUGCAAAGUGACCUCCAUAAGAUCAUCGUAUCACCACAGCCUCUGAGCUCUGACCACGCCAAAGUGUUUCUUUAUCAGAUUCUACGAGGACUUAAAUACCUUCAUUCUGCUGGCAUUCUACACCGAGACAUCAAACCUGGCAACCUCCUGGUCAACAGCAACUGUGUGCUCAAGGUGCAUAAAACAGGCUUUAAUUGGCCAUCCUUCUUUAAAACCCUCCUGUUGUCUUUGUUCCCCCCUCCCUUACUUUGGUGUUUGCGGUCAAAUUU